rnacentral:rRNA from 1 species
UACAGAGGUCUCAGGCGUUGUUCGGAUUCAUUGGGCGUAAAGGGUGCGUAGGCGGCGCGGUAAGUCGGGUGUGAAAUCUCGGGGCUUAACUCCGAAACUGCAUUCGAUACUGCCGUGCUUGAGGACUGGAGAGGAGACUGGAAUUUACGGUGUAGCGGUGAAAUGCGUAGAUAUCGUAAGGAAGACCAGUGGCGAAGGCGGGUCUCUGGACAGUUCCUGACGCUGAGGCACGAAGGCCAGGGGAGCAAACGGG